UUUACUAGCGGAGGCAUAAAUAACAACAAGCUAUCUUAUUUCUUUAUCAUUGUGUCGUUUUAGCUGGAUAUAAAUUAGUAGCUAGCUAACAAGCAUUGUUGUCAUGUUCUUAUUUGCAAUGUAUUUUGUGUUUGAUUUAGAAAGAGAAAAGUCAAGAUCUGCUGCGUGCAUGUUUUAAAGGAUGAGAUGACUGAAAGUUCAUAUAAUAAUUGAUUUAUUCCUUAAGUUAUUUUUCUAGAGAGAGUGAGCUGCCCCGGUCUGCGGAGGAGGCGGUGCCAGUUGAAACAAUUAGCAAUAGCAAGUUGUAACAUUUUUGCAGUUCAGCUCUGAAAGGGGCAGGCCGGAGGGGCUGAUUGGACCACGUUGAUGUUGGUACAGGACCAAGGAGCUAAACGGUGACUGCAGACUCAACUCAGUUUGGGACAGCCGAGGUGGUUUGGAGACCUUGUUUGUGACUUUAGACCUAGGUGGUGGGGCGGAGGGUUACGAUGGCUGUGAGCAGGUUUGACAUAGAUGUGCUGCGGUGGGAUCAGUACACAUUUAUUGGCAGACUGAAGCACUUUGUCAACAUCACAGACUGGAGGACAGCACUACUGCCAGACUCACGACUGGAUGAGUCUAAAGCACUGGUGGAGAGCUGCAGGUAACGCACACGUACACACACACAGAUACCUCAAGGUUAGAGCGGUGGGCCAGUAACCUUAAGGUCGCUGGUUCGAAUUCCUUGAGCAAGGCCCUAUUUGCUCCAGGGACGCUGUUAAAAUAGUGGACCCUGGCUCUGACCCAGACUCUUUGCAUGUGUCUCGGAGUUGGGAUAUGCUAGAAACACAUUUCAAAUACACACUUGUACAAGUGUGUUAUAGGACAAAUAUAAUUAAGCACCCACCAAAUUAUAUAAUUAUUAUUAUAAACUGGGUGGUUCGCACACUGAAUGCUGCUUGGCUGACAGCCGUGGUAUAUCAGACCGUAUACCACAGGUAUGACAAAACAUUUAUUUCUACUGCUCUAAUUACGUUGGUAGCCAGUUUAUAAUAGCAAUAUACCAUGGCUAAGGGCUGUAUCCAGGCACUCCGCAUUGCGUCGUGCUUAAGAACAGCACUUAGCCGUAGUAUAUUGGCCGUAUACCACACCUCCUUGUGCCUUAUUGCUUAAUUAUACCACUAUGAAGUAGUAAUUUCUCUGCAGUGUUAUGUCUACAGUAGUUGUUCCUCAUGAUGAGAACCUGGGUUAUGUGUGGUUCUCCUGUUCUUGAGCAGCUUCCCUUCAUCCUGGUACCACAGAAGAACAGCUCUAUGACUCCGCCUUUCACCCAGACACCGGCGAUCGCAUGAACCUGAUUGGUCGAAUGUCCUUCCAUGUGCCUGGAGGGAUGGCCAUAACAGGCGGUAUGCUACAGUUUUACAGUCCCUGCUGUAUCUGGCAGUGAGUGAAUCAGUCGUUUAACGUUCUAGUCAACUACACCAACAGAAACGCUGCUUCCCCCAUCACCUCCAAUCAGAUAGGAGUAGCCUAUUUAACAGCAACUAGCACUGCUCUAGCUACUGCUGUGGGACUCAACCUCUACACAAAGGUACAGUUUGAUGCACAGACACACACACACUGGUUUGAUUGAUUACAUGUUCCACUUCCCCUUCCUGUCUUGUCUCUGCCCCUUCCUGUAGAAAGCUCCUCCUCUGGUGGCGCCCUGGGUUCCAUUUGCGGCGGUGGCAUCAGCUAACUGUGUCAACAUCCCAAUGAUGAGGCAACAGCGAGUUCAUCUGUGCUCCUAGUGUAUUAGCAUCCCCAUGAAGACACAACAGCGAGUUCAUCUGUGCUCCUAGUGUAUUAGCAUCCCCAUGAAGACACAACAGCGAGUUCAUCUGUGCUCCUAGUGUAUUAGCAUCCCCAUGAAGACACAACAGCGAGUUCAUAUGUGCUCCUAGUGUAUUAGCAUCCCCAUGAAGACACAACAGCGAGUUCAUCUGUGCUCCUAGUGUAUUAGCAUCCCCAUGAAGACACAACAGCGAGUUCAUCUGUGCUCCUAGUGUAUUAGCAUCCCCAUGAAGACACAACAGCGAGUUGUUGACCAUCUCCUUCUCUCCUCUCAGAGAGCUCCUGAAUGGCAUCUCUGUAACAGAUGAGAAUGGAAACAAACUGGGUCAUUCCAAGUCAUUUUCCCCAUCAUCAUGCAGAGACUGGAGGAUAACAAGUUUAUGCAGAGGAUCACCUUCGUCUCCCGACCUUUACAAGUGAUGAUGGUGGGAGCGUUCCUGGUCUCCAUGGUGCCGGCAGCCUGCUCCCUGUUCUCUCAGCAGUGUGCGCUGGAGAGGUUCCAACAAACUUGAUGGACCAUAAUGAACAUUUGGCAGAAGCUCUAACAGGCUCCAUGGGCAGUGUACAAUACAUCUACUUCAACAAGGGCCUCUGAACACAAACACACCUGCCUUCUUAAUUGUCAUGUCUUUGGCAUCAUUAAACUGAAGACAUGUUUAUCAAA